rnacentral:rRNA from 1 species
CCCUUAGAUGUCCUGGGCCGCACGCGCGUUACACUGAUGCAUUCAACGAGCUCAUAACCUUGGCCGAGAGGCCUGGGCAAUCUUGUUAACGUGCAUCGUGAUAGGGAUAGAUUAUUGAAAUUAUUAAUCUUGAACGAGGAAUUCCUAGUAAACGCAGAUCAUCAAUCUGCAUUGAUUACGUCCCUGCCCUUUGUACACACCGCCCGUCGCUACUACCGAUUGAACGGUUUAGUGAGGGCCUCGGAUUGGUCUCGGCCCGCUCUUUACCGGGCGGCGCCGUUGGUCGAGAAGACGCUCGAACUUGAUCGUUUAGAGGAAGUAAAAGUCGUAACA